rnacentral:lncRNA from 1 species
ACCGAGCGAUGUUGCCAAGCCUGAGGACAAUCCCGGCCCCGUACGACCAGCGGAUGCACUCAGCCAGCUUACGAAUAUGAGCUUUGGGGCCCUCCCCUGAAUAUCAAGACCUUCAACAGAAAACUCACAUCUUUGUUUUCAAGAAUUUCCUGUUUAGCUUCAGGCUCAACUUCAACAAAUUCAGCUUCUUCUCCUAAUCCUCCAAAAUCAGGUCCACUUGAUGGAAGAGGCUCCAAACUCUGAAAGGG